rnacentral:rRNA from 1 species
AGAGAGAGACAUGCGCGCAUAUCAAUAAGCGGAGGAAAAGAAACUAACUAGGAUUCCCUUAGUAACGGCGAGUGAAGCGGGAAGAGCUCAAAUUUGAAAUCUUCAAGGUUUUACCUUGACGAAUUGUAGUUUAAAGAAGUGUUUUCUGCUGAAGUUUUGGUAAAAGUUCUUUGGAAUAGGACAUCAUAGAGGGUGAGAAUCCCGUAUUUGACCAUUAUUUUCAGCUUUGUGAUACACUUUCAAAGAGUCGGAUUGUUUGGGAAUGCAGUCCAAAAUGGGUGGUAAAUUUCAUCUAAAGCUAAAUAUUGGCGAGAGACCGAUAGCGAACAAGUACCGUGAGGGAAAGAUGAAAAGAACUUUGAAAAGAGAGUUAAACAGUACGUGAAAUUGUCAAAAGGGAAGCGUUUGACACCAGUGUUGUUUUCUCGAAAAUCAAUUAAAAAUGGCUCGAUUUUGUAUUGUUGAGACCUUAAAAGCUCACUAUACAUUUUUCGUGUCUUUUUUAAUGCACUUUUCGUUUAACAAGUCAACAUCAGCUUUCUUUUGUUGUAAAAGGGUCAUUGGAAGGUGGCUUUCUUUUCGGAGAAAGUGUUUAUAGCCUUUGGCCUCUGCAAUCGAAGAGACUGAGGUCUGCAGCGUAGACUCUUCGGGGUUAGAUACAUUUGUGCUAAGUUAUAGCUUUUUAUAGACAACUUGUUGACUAUAAUUAGUCUUGUAGCUUACUCGCUUAUGCUAUUUUACCUACGCUUAGGAUGUUGAGUCGUAGAGCACGCAG